rnacentral:tRNA from 1 species
GGCCUCGUAGCUCAAAUGAUAGAGCACGCGUGUACAAAACGUAGGCUGCGUCCAUGCGUGGGUUCGAAUCCCACCGAGGCUA